AUUGAACGCUGGCGGAAUGCUUUACACAUGCAAGUCGAACGGCAGCACGGGGCAACCUGGUGGCGAGUGGCGAACGGGUGAGUAAUACAUCGGAACGUGCCCAAUCGUGGGGGAUAACGUAGCGAAAGUUACGCUAAUACCGCAUACGAUCUACGGAUGAAAGCGGGGGAUCGCAAGACCUCGCGCGAAUGGAGCGGCCGAUGUCAGAUUAGGUAGUUGGUGGGGUAAAGGCUCACCAAGCCAACGAUCUGUAGCUGGUCUGAGAGGACGACCAGCCACACUGGAACUGAGACACGGUCCAGACUCCUACGGGAGGCAGCAGUGGGGAAUUUUGGACAAUGGGCGCAAGCCUGAUCCAGCCAUUCCGCAUGCAGGAUGAAGGCCUUCGGUUGUUAACGUGCUUUUGUACGGUAACGAAACGGACGAGCUCUAAUACAGUUUAGUCGUAAUGUACGGUACCGGUAACGAAUAAGACACCGGCCUAACUACCGUGCCCGAGCAGCCGACC
rnacentral:rRNA from 1 species